GACAGAGGGUGCAAACGUUGUUCGGAAUUACUGGGCGUAAAGCGCGUGUAGGCUGCUCUGCAAGUCGGAUGUGAAAGCCCUGGGCUCAACCUAGGAAGUGCACUCGAAACUGCAAAGCUGGAGUCCUGGAGAGGAAGGCGGAAUUCUCGGUGUAGAGGUGAAAUUCGUAGAUAUCGAGAGGAACACCGGUGGCGAAGGCGGCCUUCUGGACAGUGACUGACGCUGAGACGCGAAAGCGUGGGGAGCAAACAGG
rnacentral:rRNA from 1 species